UGUGUUGAUGAUACUAGUAAUAGGAAGUGCCGUCAGAUGCGAGAACUGACGACUUUCACGCUUAUAUCUGAAU
ensembl:snoRNA